GACGAACGCUGGCGGCGUGCUUAACACAUGCAAGUCGAACGGAGAGGCCCUGCUGUUGUGGGGUGCUCGAGUGGCGAACGGGUGAGUAACACGGGAGUAACCUGCCCUUGACUUUGGGAUAACUUCAGGAAACUGGGGCUAAUACCGGAUAGGAGCUCCUGCUGCAUGGUGGGGGUUGGAAAGUUUCGGCGGUUGGGGAUGGACUCGCGGCUUAUCAGCUUGUUGGUGGGGUAGUGGCUUACCAAGGCUUUGACGGGUAGCCGGCCUGAGAGGGUGACCGGCCACAGUGGGACUGAGAUACGGGCCAGACUCCUACGGGAGGCAGCAGUGGGGAAUAUUGCACAAUGGGCGGAAGCCUGAUGCAGCAACGUCGCGUGCGGGAUGACGGUCUUCGGGUUGUAAACCGCUUUCGCCUGUGACGAAGCGUGAGUGACGGUAAUGGGCAAAGAAGCACCGGCUAACUACGUG
rnacentral:rRNA from 1 species